CCAGACUCCUACGGGAGGCAGCAGUGAGGAAUAUUGGUCAAUGGGCGGAAGCCUGAACCAGCCAAGUCGCGUGAGGGACUAAGGCCCUACGGGUCGUAAACCUCUUUUGCCGGGGAUCAGUGCCCAGCUCGCGAGCUGGGAGGGAGCGUACCCGGAGAAAAAGCAUCGGCUAACUCCGUGCCAGCAGCCGCGGUAAUACGUAGGGAGCAAGCGUUGUCCGGAAUUACUGGGCGUAAAGGGCGCGUAGGUGGGCGCUUAAGUCAGGUGUGAAAACUCCGGGCUCAACCUGGAGACUGCACUUGAAACUGGGUGUCUUGAGGGCAGGAGAGGAAAGUGGAAUUCCUAGUGUAGCGGUGAAAUGCGUAGAUAUUAGGAGGAACACCAGUGGCGAAGGCGACUUUCUGGACUGUACCUGACGCUGAGGCGCGAAAGCGUGGGUAGCGAACGGGAUUAGAUACCCUUGUAAA
rnacentral:rRNA from 1 species